GCAUUGGUGGUUCAGUGGUAGAAUUCUUAACUUCCGUGCGGGAGACCUGGGUUCGAGUCCCAACCAAUGCA
rnacentral:tRNA from 1 species